CCCUUCAGAGGGGGACAACAGUUGGAAACGACUGCUAAUACCGCAUACGAUCCAAUCUCGGCAUCGAGGAUGGAUGAAAGGUGGCCUCUAUUUAUAAGCUAUCACUGAAGGAGGGGAUUGCGUCUGAUUAGCUAGUUGGAGGGGUAACGGCCCACCAAGGCAAUGAUCAGUAGCCGGUCUGAGAGGAUGAACGGCCACAUUGGGACUGAGACACGGCCCAG
rnacentral:rRNA from 1 species